rnacentral:lncRNA from 1 species
UUCCCCAAUUGAAUCUUGAGAUGAGUGUGGCCCUGGGCUGGAAUGUUGAUUGCAGGCAUUUAAGAAACCCUGAAGCUGAGGAAUCAGGUAAGUCAUGCUCAGAUUCCUGAUCCAGAGAAAACAUGAAACUAUAAAUGUCUCCUAUUUAAGCCAAUAAGAUUUGGAAUAAUUUAUUAUGCAGCAAUAGGUAGGUAAUACAAUAUGCACUAUUAGUUAAAUAUGAGGAAUUAUGACAUGAUGUGUUUUAAGAAAGCUUCAUGAAGAAAGGGAAUGAGCUGAAUUUUAAAGGGAGAAUAUUAGUUGUUGUUUAAUUCAACUUAGCACAUUUAAAAAAUUGCAAUGACUAAAUAAAAUAAUGCUGGGAAGAUCCAAAAGAAGAAAAGCAUUUAAUUGGAAUGGAAUAAGACGCAACUGAAAGCAGGAAAAGUCAAUUGCUUAUGAAAAGAUAGGAGAAUCAUUAGAAAGAUUUUUUUUUAAAUGAGAGGGAGAGAGAGAGGAGGAAGAAGGGAAAGGGGAAUAAAGGAGAGAAGAGAGACAAAAAGAUGGCACAGAGAGAGAAAAUUAGAUGUGAAUCUUAAUUUCUAUGUGAAUAGCUUAUAAAACAUUUUGUAAUUUAGCCAUAAAUAUAGGUAUUUGAGUUACUGUAAAUAGUAAGAAAUUUCUCUAAACAUUAUUAAAUAGGAUAUUCGAAAUAUGUUUGUAUUUCACAAAUACUAUAAUAAUUAUAAAAGUGUUAGGGAUAUUUUACUCUAGAAAUUUCGAAAGCUUCAGGAGGAAUCAGCAGUAUUUGUGAGUGUGUUGUCUGUAAUCCUUUCCACUAUCAAGUGUGAAAGACAUGCACAUAAACUCACUCUGUGUUGAGUGUAAGGCACCAUGCUCUGUUUUCAGGCACCUAGUGAAUGUCUCCAUGGUGACUAUCUAUACACUUCAGCAGUGGGACACCAGAAAAUACAGACUCUGUGGAUACAAAGAUGCCAAGAUAGAGAAUAUAACCAAGUAGCCAAGGUUUGGGCACUGAAUGAAGAAGGCACACUCUGGGAAAAGCCACUACUGCAGGAAUAA